GCAGCAAAUUUGACCCGUUUUUCGUUGUUUAUUGAUACAAUUUAACCAAGAUUAUUAUCCCA
rnacentral:misc_RNA from 1 species